GCGGUGGAAAGGAGUGGCGUGGCGAGUGUAGCCGAUGAUGGGGUAGCUGAGAGUAAGCAGUAAGCCGAGAGUAGCAGGGCUGUAAGCAGUUUGCAGUAGCGAGCGGUUGGUGGUCUGGUGAAAGCAGAUUCGCGCGAGAGAUUCGAGAUCAGGGGCGAGAGAAAGAAAGUCUGUGUGAGCGAAAGCUCUCCGUCGACUCUCCUCUCCUCUCUCUCUCUCUCAGUGGGGGGUCGCCGUGUGUGCAGAAAUCGCAGAAGGGUACGGUCUCUCGGGAGUGCGCUGAGAAAAUAUGACGGAUGCGGUUGCUGUCUCUGUCGACCACCUUCGUCCGGUUUGCAGGGUUGGCUCAUUCGAAACCGAGCAUGCUUUGUUCUCUGCGUAGGUCCGACUCGUAAGUUUUGAUACAUUCGAUUGCCUCUUUUUUGCUAAUUAACGUCAGACUCUUUCAUUCCUGUUUUUAAUCAUUCAUUUUUAUAAAUCAGAACUAAUUUCCAUUAUUUUGAAAACAGAACAAUUGCAUUUUUAUUAUCGUUGUUUUCGUAUUUCGUGGAAAGGGUUCGUAAAUUUUCAAUUUUAUAUGCGAUCAUCGCUUUGGAACACUUGCCGCCACAUUAUGAAUAAUUGAACGGGUGGGAAAUGGGAUCCUCUCGCUUUUCUUGUGUCUCUUUCUUUCAGGUCUCAGUAAACAUCGGUAGAGUAAGUAUGUUUUACAAUAGAGGUAAGACAAUGUCUUAAUAUAUACAUUAUUUUAUUUAUUCUAUUUUUUGUUUCCAAGGUACAUUUUUGUAGAAAUGUGGUGGGUUGUGCGAUGAAUAAAAGUUACUUUAUCGAAGAAA